rnacentral:lncRNA from 1 species
GACAACGGCAACCGGAAACCGGUGCCAUCUUGGAGUUGGCUUCCCACACAGGGGACCCUCUGACUGAACCAUACAAAGCAAGAGAAAUUUAUUGUUCCAGCGCUCUGGGGUCGCCCUGCACCCAAAGGAGAGGCAGCGACUCCAGGCAGGCCUAUGUCACCUGCCUUGAAGAUUCUCUUCGGCCGGGGCUGGAGGACCUGAGUUUAAGUUCCCUGAAUUCAACUGAGAACACGGAUACAUCCUUCUGAUCACAUCCCAUUCGAUGGAAUAAGCUAGCAUAAUCUAUCCAUAGCUACAGACUUCAAAGACUACAAGGAUACAGGCGUUGUCAUCCUGCCUCCUCAGUCCAGCUAAUAUUUAAACUAGAAAAGAAGGAGUUGGUUCGUGUGAUUCUGAAGGAAUCUGUUCCAAGAUCUGCAGGGCAAGUUGGCUGAAAAGACGCCGGAGAGCCAAUGGUACCUUCCUGCUCUGAAGAAAGGCAUGCUCAAGGAGACACAGCCAAUGCUUUCGUCUGAAUCCAAAGGCAGGAGAAAGUUGAUAUCGUAGUACACGGAUGAUGUCAUGAGUCGUCUCACAUAGGGAGUCAGUCUCAACCAUUUUAUUCUCUCCAAAUAGUCAACAGAUUAGGCAAAUCCUACCCAUGCUAAUAAUAGCAUUAGUAAUCAUUAUAAGUCACCUACAAAAAGGGGGUUCUUCCUUAACUAGUAUGCAGAUUUGCAUAUGACUCUCAUGUUUAUAAAAACUAUUCUUGAGGAUACACCCCAAAUAAUGUUUGACCAAGUAGCUAAAUACAUGCACCCCAAGCAAGUGGGCACUAAUGAUCAGAUCUAGAAACCUAAGAUAAAAAAAAAAAUGGAAGUGUCAAAUAUUUUUCCAACACUAAGCAAGAGCAUGGAAGAGCAGAUUUUCUGACAUCUGUGGUUCAUAGAAGCCCUUGUAUGACCUUUAUAUUACUUUAUUCUCUCAGAUCAACAAAGUAAGACCAUUUGGUCAUGUUCUAUAGACAUGAAAAAAAAAAAAAAAAAAAACCAGCAACGGUCUCUUCAGACAGUCUUAAUAAUCACUGAAACUUGCCCAAAGAUCAAAUGAGAAAUUAACUUAAAUGAAAGCAAUUCUAAUGAGAAAAGCAUACGUCACUACCCAGGUAGAAAUUUACUAAUGAAGCAAUCAACUGCUAUCAGACAAGGUGUGUGAUAUAUUACACAUAGUAUAUUCAAUAUCUAUGUAUGCCUCCAUCACCACUAAAUAUAGGCACUACUUUUUCAGGACAACACAGAAGAGAAAAUUAGGAUAAAAAAUGUUAAGAUGUGUUUUCUCAAGAUUAAGGCAAUUGUCAGACCAAUGGCAAUAUUGUUUACAUAAAACCAAAAUAUAACUGACUCUUUCAUAGUAAAUAGUAACUCAGUAUCAUAUAUGACUUGGAACUCCAAGGUAAGCUGACUCUGUUUUCAACAUAAUUUGCCCAACAAAGAUUUGCUGCACCAAGCCACCUACUUAGUGGCUUCCAAAGAAACUCAGGGAUGGAUGAGAUUUUGGUCUUAAACAUAAGAGGAACUUCAUUCCAUAAUCAGCUGGCAUGGGUGAGCCACAGGGUUCCUAGCCAUGGCAACUGCUGACAUCUGAAGCUGGUAAUUCUUUGUUGUAAGAGUCUGUAUUACAUACUAUAGGGAAUUUAGCAGAAGUAUCUCUGAUCUCAAUUCACUAGGCACCCGUAACAACUAAGUGGAACCAUAAAUGUCUCAAGACAUGGUAAAUUUUUCCUGGGAAUGAAAACCCUUCCAGUGUGAGAUCCCUGGCACUGGAUGAAAUUGUGACAGAGAACAUAAACUUUUGGCUGCAAAUCUGUUAGAUUUUUGAUUGGUUGGAUUCAUUGUUGUUCGUUUGAUAUUAUACCUGUGCUACCUCUUAAUGGGCGAAGGAUUUUUCCAUUUUCCUUAAAUAAUUAGAUUACAGAAGCUUCACCAUUGGUUUUAGAGGAAA